rnacentral:rRNA from 1 species
AUGGCGAUAUCCAUAAUGCAAGGGGUUCAGCCACUCCAAUACCGAGGGCGCACCAUGUGGCACUUCAAUGGAGAAGAUGAUGCCACCCGCUAUGGUCGGAAGGGUCCGGACACUUACGCUGCUUUGGCGAAAAUACUAUCCGGAUUAUACACAGGGGAGGAGGAGGAGUUCAUCCAUGUUAAGCCCAGGGAUGGAUUUUCCAUGUACAACCCUCCCAGCUGGGUGAGUUUUCGUCUCACUACUCUACUCCAUCAAUUCCAUGAAUCCUUUUUCAUAAAUAUUAAUCCAUCAUUUAUAACAGGAAUGGCGGAAAAUCGCCAGGGAGAUCCACAGCCCCGCACCACAGCCAUAGGACCACAACCAGGCCCUUGA